UUACUGAUUUGUAUAAUUUACUUAAAUCAAUGUAAAUUUAUUAUACAUAUAUUUAGGCAAUAGAAAAGAGUGGUUGAAUGUCGCAUAAAUUGAUGAAGUACAAGAUGAUAAUUUUGAAGCACUAAAUUCGAAAUAAAUCACAACAGAAUUAAUCCGCACAUAAAUUACGUAAAGUAAUAAUAUAGGAUGAGGAGUAAAAAAGAAAAACAAUUUAUGUUGUGAUAUAUCGACGCAAUAAUAACAUUUUUAUGAAAAGAUACAUGUACAUAUAUAUAUAAG